rnacentral:rRNA from 1 species
CACGUAGGGGCCAAGCGUUGUCCGGAUUUAUUGGGCGUAAAGAGCUCGUAGGCGGCUCGGUAAGUCGGGUGUGAAACCUCCAGGCUCAACCUGGAGACGCCACCUGAUACUGCUGUGGCUAGAGUCCGGGUAGGGGAGCGUGGAAUUCCUGGUGUAGCGGUGAAAUGCGCAGAUAUCAGGAGGACACCAGCGGCGAAGGCGGCGCUCUGGGCCGGAACUGACGCUGAGGAGCGAAAGCGUGGGUAGCAAACAGG